rnacentral:rRNA from 1 species
AUGUCAGCAAAGGCCUCUAACAUGUCAUACAGAUAUCCAGACAAUUCUCAAAUACCAUACUACAGCAGUUCAAUGCAUGUGGGGGGAAAUGGUACUUGCUAUGUGCAACAAAAUCAUGAGGAUCAUCACUACGUGUCCUCUGAUGGUGGCUCACAGAACAGCGAUUCAAAGUCUCAGGUGAUUCACCCACAGUACAGCACUCUAGAGUCUUCAUCAGCCAAUUGUGUUUAUGCUGCCAAUAGCUCUACAUCUCCUCAGUGCAUAAGUGGGAGCCACAUUUCUCUGCAUGAUAGCCACUCAGAUCACACAUAUGAUUCUCCUGCAAGUGGCAUCACCGAGGUUCCAGGUUUGGGGUUUACAACACUUCAGGAGCUAGCAGAUGCACUGUUUGGAUCUGAUUCAGAUGCAGUUAGUUCUGACAGAUCCCUAGUAAUUGGCGCCGCAAUGCACCAAAGUAACUGGAGAGAGCUUCUGGGAAUCAGCUCUGGGGACUUGAAGCAGGUAAUUGUAGCAUGUGGUAAGGCUGUUGAUGAGAAUAAUUGUCAUGAGGACUUGCUGAUAUCAGAGUUACAGAAGAUGGUCUCCGUGUCUGGAGAACCAAUCCAACGUCUGGGAGCAUAUAUGUUGGAAGGCCUUGUUGCGAGGCGUUAUUCUACUGGACAUGCGUUGUAUAAAUCUCUGAAGUGCAAGGAACCUCAACCUACAAAUUCAGAGCUCAUGUCCUACAUGCAUCUUCUCUAUGAUAUCUGUCCAUUCUUCAGAUUUGGUUACAUGUCUGCCAAUGGUGCUAUAGCCGAGGCUGUUAAGGGUGAGAACUUUAUUCACAUCAUUGAUUUCCAAAUUGCUCAAGGGAGCCAGUGGGUAACUAUGAUACAGGCCCUUGCUGCGAGGGUUAGCGGACCACCAUACCUAAGAAUUACUGGUAUAGAUGAUUCAGAUUCGGCUUAUGCCCGAGGUGGUGGACUGGAUAUAGUUGGGCGUAGGUUAUGCAACAUUGCUCAGUCAUGUUGUCUGCCCUUUGAGUUCAACGCCGUAAAUGCAGCUAGUCAUGAGGUUACACUUGAACAUCUCGAUAUAAGAAAGGGAGAGGCUAUUGCUGUCAACUUUGCAUAUCAGCUGCAUCAUACUCCUGAUGAGAGUGUCUGCAUAGAAAACCACCGGGAUAGGAUAUUGAGAAUGGUUAAGAGCCUUUCUCCUAGGGUGGUAACCCUUGUAGAGCAGGAGGCUAACACAAACACUGCCCCAUUCUUCAGUAGAUACAUGGAGACCCUUGACUACUACACAGCCAUGUUCGAGGCAAUAGAUGUUGCUUGCCCCAGGGAUGACAAGGUGAGGAUGAGCACUGAGCAGCACUGUGUUGCAAGAGAUAUUGUCAAUUUAAUUGCAUGUGAAGGUGCAGAAAGAGUGGAGAGGCAUGAACCAUUUGGAAAGUGGCGGUCUAGGUUUGCAAUGGCUGGCUUUAGACGCUAA